UCGGGAAUUUUGGGCAAUGGGGGAAACCCUGGCCCAGCAACGCCGCGUGAAGGAUGAAGUAUUUCGGUAUGUAAACUUCGAAAGAAUAGGAAGAAUAAAUGACGGUACUAUUUAUAAGGUCCGGCUAACUACGUGCCAGCAGCCGCGGUAAUACGUAGGGACCAAGCGUUGUUCGGAUUUACUGGGCGUAAAGGGCGCGUAGGCGGCAUGACAAGUCACUUGUGAAAUCUCUGGGCUUAACCCAGAACGGCCAAGUGAUACUGUCGCGCUAGAGUGCAGAAGGGGCAAUCGGAAUUCUUGGUGUAGCGGUGAAAUGCGUAGAUAUCAAGAGGAACACCUGAGGUGAAGACGGGUUGCUGGGCUGACACUGACGCUGAGGCGCGAAAGCCAGGGGAGCAAACGGGAUUAGAUACCCUUGUAGUCCCUGAGCGGGCUGGCAAGGCGCAU
rnacentral:rRNA from 1 species